rnacentral:lncRNA from 1 species
GUCAGGAGGAAAUCCUUGGGGUUGGCGGUCCCGUCGUAUGUACCGAGCGUGGGCGCUCGGAACUUACGGGGCCACGUCACCCGCCGCAACUCGCGCGUGAACGCGCUGCAACCGUCCUCGGGGCCCAGGGGAGCGUCUUCCUGCUCCGGUGGGCGUUGGCACUCUACCUCGCGCCAGCGCCGGCGCUCCAAGCGCUGGCGUAAAUCCUCUUGCUGGCGGGCAUUCAAGAUGCCGCACGCAUCGCCCCCAGGAACGGUGGGCGACGAGUUCGAGGACCCCUCCGGGCCCCUGUCUCCUUGUGUAACAUCCCAAAUUUUUCAAAUUCGGAUGUUCGCACCUUUACAUUUCUUAUGCAUAUCACCUUGAUCAUAUCUUAAAAUAUUGGUGUUCAUUAUGAUGCAUUAUUGAAAGUGUUUGAAAUGGUAUUUUGGAAUGUGAUAGGUAGAUAGAAAUUGAAUUGAGAAUUUUCUAGAGUCUAAAAACGUAUUUUAGGAUUUUAUUUGGGUUUAUUUAAAGCUUAGAAACAUUAAAACUAUUUUUACAAAUUUACUUUUGAGUGGGAAUAAUUUUCCUGGACUCUAAAUGAAAUAUAUUAUUUUACAGAAUUUUUGGGAAUUUUUCUGAAACCAUUUGAUAUUUUAAAUGAGUUAAAUGGAAUUUCGGGUGAAUUAUAGAUCCUGAAAAGCAAUUUUUAUAUUUUUUUUCUUUUAUUCUUUUUCUUUUUCUCUGAAAAUACGCUUUCUCCGCAGGGAAACGUAUUCUCGGGAAAUACGCUUUCAAUCUCUUCUCUCUCUCACUGACAGGUGGGGCCCACCUGUCAUCUUCUCCCUCAUCUCCGCCGUCUCCAACCGCCGCCGGCGCCGCGCCCGGCCGCGCUCCCGCCGCCGCCCGCGCUCGCCUGCCCGCUUGCCCGCGCCCCUGCUCGUCGCCCCCACGCACCUGCGCGCGCCGCCGCCGCCGCUCGCACCGCCGCUGCUCGCCGCGCGUGC